CAGCCGCCGCGGGAAAACGGAGGGUGCAAGCGUUAAUCGGAAUUACUGGGCGUAAAGCGCACGCAGGCGGUCUGACAAGUCAGAUGUGAAAUCCCCGGGCUUAACCUGGGAACUGCAUUUGAAACUGUCAGGCUGGAGUCUUGUAGAGGGGGGUAGAAUUCCAGGUGUAGCGGUGAAAUGCGUAGAGAUCUGGAGGAAUACCGGUGGCGAAGGCGGCCCCCUGGACAAAGACUGACGCUCAGGUGCGAAAGCGUGGGGAGCAAACAGGAUUAGAUACCCCGGUAGUCCCUGUCUCUUAUAC
rnacentral:rRNA from 1 species